CAACGAUGCUCUUGGAGGAUAGGGACAGAGACUGCGCGCCGCGCCACUCACUUUGUUCAGCAUCUGAAAGCCAAAAGCAAAGAGGAAAAUGAUAAUAAAACUAAAUGAUUCAGCUACCGAGCUGUAGCUAAGGGUCAGCCUUAUUUCUCCCGAAGCGACCCAGCAGCUAUGCUUACCUCGGGGUUAAUCUCCAUCGGCUUCAGCUGCAUCUUCGCGGAUGGCACCUGCAGACACAAACCCGAGGAGCCGAAAAAACAGCCGGUGGAGCCGCCCAGGCUGCUGUUAUAAAGCGCCGGCCUCGCUCACUGGGAAAGCCUGAGCAGGGGAGACGGGAGCAGAAACAAGCAGAGGAGGAAGGCCAAGAGGGCUCGAACUCCCCCAUGCACCGCACAGAAUGGUACAAGCCAAGCCCCCAAACCUUGCAGUCUCACUCGCCGAAGUGCUCCCCGGACUGGGCAUGGUAGCACGCACCUGUGAUUCCAGCAGCUGAGAGAGAGGCCGAGCCCACAUGGAAUCCAUUGUGCAGUGCUAGAGGAGGUCAGAAGAGGGCAUUGGAUCCCCCAGAACUGGAGUUAUACGGUAACCUCGUGGUGGUUGUGAACCACCAUGUGGAUGGAUAUUGAGUUCCAAACACUGGUCCUGUGCAAGAGCAUCCAGUGCUCUUAAGUGCUGAGCCAUCUCUUUAGCUCCAGUCUCUUAAAAAACAAACAAACGAACGAACAGCAAGGGAGCUGGGUAUGACAACACAUACUAUAAUUCUAGUACUCAGGAUGCUGAAACAGGAGGAUUGCCUGACUGGGAGAUAUAAGGAGAAUCUGUUGUCACCCCCACCCCUCCCCAUAAAGGCAGAAUAAAAGAACGUCCUAUAAACAAAUAAACAAACAACCCAAUAAAACAAAACCAAGAUCUCUCCACCUUUUCUUUGCUUUUUCAGACUUUGUAAUGAGGCCCUUUGGAGUGCAGGAUAUUCGGCAGGACAAGCAGAGAGGGAGACCAUCAGUUCUUUCUUUGAUCAAGAAGACUAUGUUCCUUAGCAAACUGGUGUGUAUUAUCUCUUAUGCAAUGAGCCUGGAAAGAGGGCACAGCCACCGAGGAUGGUACAGCAUGGAUGGAUGGUACGCUACAGAGACUCGGGAGCCCAACUGUGAGUGGCUGACUGGCAUGGUAGGUUCAGGGAAGAAUUGGCCUGUGAAGAAAAUGUUCUUGAAAAGUGAACAAGGUGCAGGAGGUAGGAGUGGGUCCUGGGCAAAGCAGGGGGUGCAUCCCAGCCUCAGGGAAUAGCACAGCAGAGGUCUGUUGAUGCAUGCGAGUGCAUGACCUGCUUGCCAAUAGACGAUCAAGAAUGGGCAAAGCAUCAUGGGUGAUGAGUGGGAGAGGGGAUGAGACAUUCCUUUCUCCCUGCUGAGACUUCCAUUGAACCGAUGAGUUCUGAAUAGAAGAUGCCCCCCCACCCCCCCACCAGUGUAGAAUCUGAAGGGAGGCAUAUAUUACCCUAUAUUACUCUGUGUUGGCGGCGAGCUAUCUGACAGCCAACCUUCCCAUACAUUUCAUUGGGCAUACACUAAUGACAGGAAGUUCCUUUUGCUUGUAUGCAAGAGAUGGCUCACACGAUGGAGAAUUUAAUCUUGUUAGUUUGUUAUUUAUGUGUCCUAAAUUUUGUUCAAUAAAAAUGAAACACUCCUAUG
ensembl:antisense Uchl1os ubiquitin carboxy-terminal hydrolase L1, opposite strand